CGAGGCGUGAACGUGAGCGAAUAUUGGGGAUGACAGCUAAUCGUCGCUCAUUUGUUCAUUCUCCGAAUGAUCACAUCACCAAAAGCCUUUUUGAAAAAUGUUCAAGCAUCUUCAGAUUCUACCCUCACCAGGAGGUUGAUGAUAAACAAUAAUUUUUGUCACUCUGGGCCAAGUCAUUAAUGGAAUUGACUAUCAUCUCCACAGUCGUCUUUGCUUGCAUUUUUUUUCUGGAUACGGAAAGAACAUCAUAUAUAUAUCUUAAGGGGAGAGGAGAGGGGCGUGGGAUCGUCGAACCCCCAACUGCCCACCAAGGGUUUACUCCAUGCUUGGAGGGGGGCAAGAGUUGGAAAAAGGAAGAAAAAUGCUUGGAUUUUGGUUCCCUUGGCUUUGAUGUGGAUCAUUUGAGGGGAAAGCAAUCGGGAGAUGUUUGCUUUCUUUGGCAGAUACUUUAGGCUUUAGGGUUGAUUAUUUACCCACAACUUAUUUGGGACUCCUUGGCUCAUCCUUCAAAGCAACUUCAGUUUGGGACGAGUGUGGUGGAGUGUUUUGAAGGGGGACUAGCUACAUGGAAUAGGCACUAUCCUUCAAAGAGGCUAAACUCACUUUUUAUCGAAGUACUUUGUUUGGUUGGGCUGCCUACUUUGUCUUUUUUUUACCAUUCAUGCUUCAGUGGCUCAGAUAUUGGAGAAGUUCUGGAGGAUGGAAAUCUUGCAGGGUAAUGGAUGAGUUGUUCCUGAUAGAUUACCUUGGCUUCAGAAGUAGGACUCAACAGCUGAUGUUCGUCAUCCCCUUUGUUGUAUCGUUCAAAUAUUGAUCUCAUGCUGUUGAGGACUUGAUUGAUCAGCAUACACGUGAAGGAUGCAAUCACAAUCUGCCAUCUCAUACACCUGAUUUCAUCCCAAUGGCAGUGGCAAACUGUUUUGCAAUAGAAAAAAUGUGGGGCAAAAGCUGAAAUUUUUGUCUUAACAGAGCACAAGCUUCCAAGCUCCAGAUGCAAAUCUUUCACACUCCAAGGGUACCAUUUAUGCUUUUCACUUGCUUCGAUGAUCAUAAAUUCAAUGAUCAUAAAGACUAGGGGUGAGUAGCGGAUAUACUGAUUCACCCAAACUGACCGAAUCAAACUGAUCCGCUGCAUUUUGGACGGAUGUGUAAUAACGAGCGGAUGGUUGUGGAUUGAUUUUUUUCAAUCCUCAAAAUAACAAUAUUAAACCCAUCAAUAAAGACAUGCA